rnacentral:rRNA from 1 species
CGGACGUGAGUAACCUGCCUCUAAGAGGGGAAGUAACAUUCUGAAAAGAAUGCUAAUACCGCAUAACAUAUAUUUAUCGCAUGGUAGAUAUAUCAAAGAUUUAUCGCUUAGAGAUGGACUCGCGUCCGAUUAGUUAGUUGGUGAGGUAACGGCUCACCAAGACUGCGAUCGGUAGCCGGACUGAGAGGUUGAGCGGCCACAUUGGGACUGAGACACGGCCCAG